rnacentral:rRNA from 1 species
CAUCUCCUUAAUCGGAGAGUUCCCUUCGGGGACAUUGGUGACAGGUGGUGCAUGGUUGUCGUCAGCUCGUGUCGUGGGAUGUUGGGUUAAGUCCCGCAACGAGCGCAACCCUUGUCUUUAGUUGCCAGCAUUAAGUUGGGCACUCUAGAGAGACUGCCAGGGAUAACCUGGAGGAAGGUGGGGAUGACGUCAAAUCAUCAUGCC